CCCUUAGAUGUUCUGGGCCGCACGCGCGCUACACUGAUGAAUUCAACGAGCUCCUAACCUAGGCCGAAGGGUCCGGGUAAUCUUUGAAAUUUCAUCGUGAUGGGGAUAGAUUAUUGCAAUUAUUAAUCUUCAACGAGGAAUUCCUAGUAAGCGCGAGUCAUCAGCUCGCGUUGAUUACGUCCCUGCCCUUUGUACACACCGCCCGUCGCUCCUACCGGUUGAAUGGUCCGGUGAAAUGUUCGGACCGCGACAAGGCGGACGGUUCGCUGUCAGCUUUGCUGCGGGAAGUUCAUUAAACCUUAUCAUUUAGAGGAAGGAGAAGUCGUAACA
rnacentral:rRNA from 1 species